GACGUAGGGCGCGAGCGUUGUCCGGAUUUAUUGGGCGUAAAGAGCUCGUAGGCGGCUUGUCGCGUCGUCCGUGAAAACUUGGGGCUCAACCCCAAGCUUGCGGUCGAUACGGGCAGGCUAGAGUUCGGUAGGGGAGACUGGAAUUCCUGGUGUAGCGGUGAAAUGCGUAGAUAUCAGGAGGAACACCGGUGGCGAAGGCGCACAUCUGGCCCAAUACUGACGCUAAAGCGCGAAAGCUAGGGGAGCAAACGGG
rnacentral:rRNA from 1 species